rnacentral:rRNA from 1 species
UACAGAGGGGGCAAGCGUUAUUCGGAAUUAUUGGGCGUAAAGGGCGCGUAGGCGGCUUUUCUAAGUGACGGGUGAAAUCCCUCGCUUAACCGAGGAACUGCCUGUCAGACUGGAAGGCUUGAGACCGGGAGAGGUGAGUGGAAUUCCCAGUGUAGCGGUGAAAUGCGUAGAUAUUGGGAGGAACACCAGUGGCGAAGGCGGCUCACUGGACCGGAACUGACGCUGAGGUGGCGAAAAGCGUGGGGAGCAAACAGG